ensembl:lncRNA
AAUGUGGAGGCUAUAUACAGGGGGUACCGGUACAGAGUCAAUGUGGAGACUAUAUACAGGGGGUACUGGUACAGAGUCAAUGUGGAGGCUAUAUACAGGGGUACUGGUACAGAGACAAUGUGGAGGCUAUAUACAGGGGGUACCGGUACAGAGUCAAUGUGGAGACUAUAUACAGGGGGUACUGGUACAGAGUCAAUGUGAAGGCUAUAUACAGGGGGUACUGGUACAGAGUCAAUGUGGAGACUAUAUACAGGGGGUACCGGUACAGAGUCAAUGUGGAGGCUAUAUACAGGGGGUACUGGUACAGAGUCAAUGUGGAGACUAUAUACAGGGGGUACUGGUACAGAGUCAAUGUGGAGACUAUAUACAGGGGGGUACCGGUACAGAGUCAAUGUGGAGACUAUAUACAGGGGGUACUGGUACAGAGUCAAUGUGAAGGCUAUAUACAGGGGGUACCGGUACAGAGUCAAUGUGGAGGCUAUAUACAGGGGUACUGGUACAGAGUCAAUGUGGAGACUAAAUACAGGGUGUUACGGUACAGAGUCAAUGUGGAGACUAUAUACAGGGUGUUACGGUACAGAGUCAAUGUGGAGGCUAUAUACAGUGUGUUACGGUACAGAGUCAAUGUGGAGGCUAUAUACAG